GGCAAACGAAUGACCCGUGAGUUCAAAAAUAUGGCCUUCCUAAUUGAUUGCCGUAUCCACCAAUAUGCAUAGGUUGAAAAUCUGCAUCCAACUUUUGGCUUGAACUUCUCCAAGCUCUUCAUAAGGCCCCUGCUUCCCUCCUACAAUAACACAAAAUUGUUGAUGCUUCAAGGAUAAAUAAGAGUUUACUAUUAGAAAAAUCAGGAACACAUUUAAAAAUAAAAAAUAUUCAGAUCAAAAUGCUUAUAUAUUAGUCAAAAAUUCCCACCAAGGAAUCUGUCAUAGAGCAAAUAUAGAGUAUUGCCAUUUCUAGCUAUUAACUUGAGAACUAUUAUACAUUACUGAUGCGAUGGAUUUUUCUAUUACUAUAAACCAAGUUCCAGUGCAUUCUGUAACUGCUAGAGGAGAAGAGCAAGCAUUCAUAUCAAGGUUCUCCGUCUCGGUACCUGACCCCGUACCGGUGCCACGCUAGCAUUGUGUCAAUACGAUACGGUACGAAAAUUUUUUGGCAUACUAAAUGUUGGUACGCCAUCCAUACUGGUACCGGUACCAAAGCAGUAUGGUACAGUAUGCCCGGUACUGUCUAGUUCGGUACGGUACAGCAUACCAUAGUUCAUAUUUCAUAUCCCAAAUAGAUGUGAAACUUGCCAACAGAAAGGAGAUUAGCAGCACUUUCAGCAUAUAGUGCAGAGCAAUUCCAAGGACAACACUAGUUCUCAGAAUAUAGCAACAAAAACAAAAGAAAGUGCUACAGCCACUUGAUAAUAAAGAACAAAGAAUGCACACGUAGAGAAAACUGACCAACCUGCAGUAGAUCCAGAAUAUUGAGGCCCUUCCCUUCAUACUGUUUAGCCACAUGUACCACAAGACGUAAAUUAGCAUUAAUCAUCUUCUCUCGACUACGUUUUCCGGACGAAAGGCAACAUUGCAAAGCUUGGCAACUCAUUCCAACAGCUUGAGCCCACUCAGAUAGUGUUGGUUCACGAUCAAAUUGCAACCGAAGUCUCUGUUGAACUUCUUCCAAUCUCAUAAGAUCCUGUUAGCAGAGGAUAGUGGAGCACCUUUUAACAAACAUCACUAUACUUCUAAGACCACACAAAUAAUUAUGAAGCUCGCACAAGAGCAUCCGAAGAAGACAUACCUGUAUCUGAACAAAUAGAUCCUUUUCUUCUUUGACUGUUAAUAGUUGCUUUGUCUCAGGACCCCACAAGAACAAUCUGAGGGGGUCAUUUGGAUCAAGACCCUUAUCUAUCUUUUUGUUCAUGCCUGUGGUCAUCGACUUAGAAACCUCACAGGCAACAUUUUUUGAGUUCUUCCCAACCUUGCGUUUCUUAGACCGCCUCUCCAAUAAUCGUUUUGAUCUAACAGCCACUUCCUCUUUGAUGGAAAUAUCCAUUGUGGAUCCUCUGUGGUUCAAACUGAUUACAUAAUAUAUUAUAGUUCAACUUAAUGGGGCAUAAGAAUAUCAAAUCUUAAGCAGGAAAGGAACAAAAGCAUUAAACUAAUGAGAAACAAACCCAAGAAAAUGUGAUUCAUCAAAUUCAGCUGCUAAGAUGUUGGACUCUUCCAUUAAUGAUGCUGCUUUUCUUGAGGCUCUCAUGGCUCUUUUUGCAAGGGCAAGAACAUCUGCUGGCCUCACAAAAUCUGCACAAUUCUCCAACGACAUUUUGUUCUUCCUUGCUGAUAUAGUUGGUUUUAUAAUCAUCAUGUUGUUCCUGUGAAAGAACUGACAUAGGAAAAUGACAAACUAUAGAUGUAGUUGGCACAGAGAUAUUUGUCCAACUUGCUUGAUCAUGUAGCAUUGGAACCGAAGUGGGGAAGCGAUUUCUAACAUGGGUUCUUGUGGGAUUGGGUGGGGGUGAAGCGAGGAGCCUCCUUCCAGCCUCCAUCUCUCACGAGAAUUUAGAGUUGGGAUGAUGAACGUAUUCUUGUACUAAUUUGUUAUCACUUUUUAUGGGUUCUGUGGACAUUGCUAAUGGAGUCUUCUCCUCGGUGUACAGAGACAGAAAUCUGAAACAAACAAUUGAAACAGGAAAAGGUUGAGAAAUUAAUAAACCAGUGUUAAGAAAUUCAUGUAAAAUACUUGAUCAUAACAUAAGAGAUGAGCCCAAGUUAUCUUACGGAUACCAGAAAACCUGAUGAUAAAGCAAUUGGUGUUCGAAGUAUCUCAGACAUUGGGCAACUUCACACUUUGCCUUCUCUUCAAAACAUGAUCUUCCACUCUCAACUUGCCGGUCAUCCUGUGUUAUUUCUAAGGUUAAAAUUUAAGGGUAUAAAGGCUAUGGGUAAAUGAAAUGUACAAAAAUAAAUGUGAUUCUCUUGCCAGAAAUUUAAUCAAAUCAACCUUUUUGUGAACAUUACGAAGUCAGGGGCAAAAUAAAAUCAGUGGGACUAUAAAAUAGACAUUUCUUAUGUUCCACACUUAAGAAUUUAAAGCAACCAAAGUACAUGUCUAUAGUUUAAAAUUCAUAUUAUUAUGUCACAAAAUGUUCUGGCUCACAAAAAAGGAGAAUUCUCAGUCAUAACUAGAUCAACGUUGUGUGAGAAGUUCUUUUUGUUGUUGUUUAUUGGUAAACUGAUAAGAGCCUGAAUGGCAUUUUAAUAAGAUAUUUUCCUCACCCUCUGAGUUGAACAGUACUUUCUUCACCACCCAGCUGCAAAGGUUUGAAAAGACUCUUCAAGUUUACCCGCUAGAUUCAACUCACAUUCACAAGGGUAUCCAACAUGGUGUACUGCCCCAUACUGCUCGGUACAGGGCAUACGAUACUAUACCGGGAGAAAACUGGAACAAAACUCAACCUCGAAUCAAUACAAACUCUGUACCACACCGUACCGCCAUACUAUGGCAUACCGACUUACACCAAGGCAUAUCGAGGUGCGUACCGAUCCGUACCGAAGCAUAUCGAUCUAUAUCGAGGUGUACCGAGAUAAAAUUGAGAAAAAUGGUUUGGGAGCUAUUUCAGUACAGGAACCAUACCAUAUCGAGGCACCGAUACAGUACCCGAUACCGAGAUUACAGACCUUGGUAUCCAAUAGAUGCAAGAUGAUUAUUUUUUCCUACCUUAAAAGUUGUUCGUAGGCUUACAUGGAAGGCUUCUUGUCUUUGUUAUAGUUACAUUCACAAAGACUUUGAGGAAAAAAAUUUAGUAUCAAGCUAUUUUAUGCAACUUUCCUUGACUCCAAUAAUAAGAAUUCCUUUCAUCAUUGAGCUUGCGAGACUUACGAAGGAAUUAGUAUGUAUGUACAGUCAGUUACAGAUAUAUAUGAAGCUAAUGGGUGCAGAUAAAACAAUUUCCAGAUAUGUGCGGUAAUGAGAACCUAGAGUAGCAAUUCUAGAUAUGCCCCCAGCCCAUGGCUCAGACGGCAGUCCUUCAACUUGUCCAAUGCCCGGCUUUCUAGCUGCCUUACCCUUUCCUUUGAUAGGCCAAACAUUACACCAAUCUCUGUAAGUGAUUUCGGCUUGUUGUUGGGGAUUCCAAAACGGUAUUGAAUUAUUUGCCUUUCCCUAGGUUUGAGAAUCCUAAGAAGACCGCGUACAUGCUGCCUCAUCAUCUGUUUAGCCAUGCUGAGGUCUGGAGUUUCUACCUCAGGAUCUCCUGUGAUCUCCUGAAAAGUGACAUCUUGAUCUGUCCAAGCACAUUCCUGAAUUGAGAUUGGGUUUCUAGUGGUUAGCAACAGAACUUUCAACCUCUCAACACUGAUGCCAACCUGUUUUGCUAUCUCUUCAUUUGUUGGGGCAUGGCCUUCUUGAAUGAAUAAUCUCCUUGCUUUCUUUAUACUUUUCAAAAGUCCAAACACAUUCUCCGGCAAACGAAUGACCCGUGAGUUCAAAAAUAUGGCCUUCCUAAUUGAUUGCCGUAUCCACCAAUAUGCAUAGGUUGAAAAUCUGCAUCCAACUUUUGGCUUGAACUUCUCCAAGCUCUUCAUAAGGCCCCUGCUUCCCUCCUGCAGUAGAUCCAGAAUAUUGAGGCCCUUCCCUUCAUACUGUUUAGCCACAUGUACCACAAGACGUAAAUUAGCAUUAAUCAUCUUCUCUCGACUACGUUUUCCAGACGAAAGGCAACAUUGCAAAGCUUGGCAACUCAUUCCAACAGCUUGAGCCCACUCAGAUAGUGUUGGUUCACGAUCAAAGUGCAACCGAAGUCUCUGUUGAACUUCUUCCAAUAGCAUAAGAUCCUGUAUCUGAACAAAUAGAUCCUUUUCUUCUUUGACUGUUAAUAGUUGCUUUGUCUCAGGACCCCACAAGAACAAUCUGAGGGGGUCAUUUGGAUCAAGACCCUUAUCUAUCUUUUUGUUCAUGCCUGUGGUCAUUGACUUAGAAACCUCACAGGCAACAUUUUUUGAGUUCUUCCCAACCUUGCGUUUCUUAGACCGCCUCUCCAAUAAUCGUUUUGAUCUAACAGCCACUUCCUCUUUGAUGGAAAUAUCCAUUGUGGAUCCUCUGUGGUUCAAACCCAAGAAAAUGUGAUUCAUCAAAUUCAGCUGCUAAGAUGUUGGACUCUUCCAUUAAUGAUGCUGCUUUUCUUGAGGCUCUCAUGGCUCUUUUUGCAAGGGCAAGAACAUCUGCUGGCCUCACAAAAUCUGCACAAUU
rnacentral:lncRNA from 1 species